rnacentral:rRNA from 1 species
AAAAUGACUCUCGGCAACGGAUAUCUCGGCUCUCGCAUCGAUGAAGAACGUAGCGAAAUGCGAUACUUGGUGUGAAUUGCAGAAUCCCGUGAACCAUCGAGUUUUUGAACGCAAGUUGCGCCCAAAGCCUUCGGGUUGAGGGCACGUCUGCCUGGGUGUCACGC